GGAAGAUUAGCUCAGCUGGUUAGAGCGCUGCGUUCACAUCGCAGAGGUCUAGGGUUCGAGUCCCCAAUCUUCCACCA
rnacentral:tRNA from 1 species